rnacentral:rRNA from 4 species
UCCGGCCGGGAACUCAAAGGAGACUGCCAGUGAUAAACUGGAGGAAGGUGGGGAUGACGUCAAGUCAUCAUGGCCCUUACGACCAGGGCUACACACGUGCUACAAUGGCGCAUACAAAGAGAAGCGACCUCGCGAGAGCAAGCGGACCUCAUAAAGUGCGUCGUAGUCCGGAUUGGAGUCUGCAACUCGACUCCAUGAAGUCGGAAUCGCUAGUAAUCGUGGAUCAGAAUGCCACGGUGAAUACGUUCCCGGGCCUUGUACACACCGCCCGUCACACCAUGGGAGUGGGUUGCAAAAGAAGUAGGUAGCUUAACCUUCGGGAGGGCGCUUACCACUUUGUGAUUCAUGACUGGGGUGAAGUCGUAACAAGGUAACCGUAGGGGAACCUGCGGUUGGAUCACCUCCUUACCUGAAAGAAGC